AGGUAAGUUGCGUGAAGGUAGAGCACUGAAUAUGUGAUGGCCCCAUCUCGGGGUACUGAGCAUAAUCAAACUGCGAAUGUCACGCCAACAUGCUCGGCAGUCAGACAGCGGGUGAUAAGGUCCGUUGUCAAGAGGGAAACAGCCCAGACCAUCAGCUAAGGUCCCAAAAUGUAUGCUAAGUGGAAAAGGAUGUGGAGAUGUACAGACAACUAGGAGGUUGGCUCAGAAGCAGCCAUCCUUUAAAGAGUGCGUAACAGCUCACUAGUCGAAUGACUCUGCGCCGAUAAUUUACCGGGGCUAAGCAUACUACCGAAGCUAUGGAUCCCAAGGGAUGGUAGGGGAGCGUUCCAUGAACGGAGAAGUACGACCGAAAGGACGUGUGGAGAUCAUGGAAGAGAGAAUGCCGGUGUGAGUAGCGGAACGUGGGUGAGAAUCCCACGCACCGAAAACCCAAGGUUUCCAGAGGAAGGUUCGUCCGCUCUGGGUAAGUCGGGACCUAAGGCGAGGCCGAAAGGCGUAGUCGAUGGACAACAGGUAGAGAUUCCUGUACCCGUAUAUAUGUGAAGGAAUGACGGAGAGAGGAAGCUGCAGCCAGCGGCUGGAAGAGCUGGUGCAAGCGAGAUAUCGGGAUGGCAGGCAAAUCCACCAUCCGAAACGAGAAGGCGUGAAGCGUACGGAAAGCUACGGCGAGUACGGAAGGCAGUGGAGGAACUUCCAAGAAAAGUUUCUAACGUUAAGUAUAUAUGGCCCGUACCGAAAAUGGACACACAUGGGUGAGGAGAGAAUCCUAAGGUGAGCGAGAGAACUAUAGCUAAGGAACUCUGCAAAAUGACUCCGUAACUUAGGGAGAAGGAGUGCUCAUAGAGAUAUGAGCCGCAGUGAAACGGCCCAAGCGACUGUUUACCAAAAACACAGCUCUCUGCUAAGCCGCAAGGCGAAGUAUAGGGGGUGACGCCUGCCCGGUGCUGGAAGGUUAAGGGGAGGGGUUAACGCAAGUGAAGCCCUGAACUGAAGCCCCAGUAAACGGCGGCCGUAACUAUAACGGUCCUAAGGUAGCGAAAUUCCUUGUCAGGUAAGUUCUGACCCGCACGAAAGGCGUAACGAUUUGGGCGCUGUCUCAGCUGUAGACUCGGUGAAGUCUUAGUACCUGUGAAGAUGCAGGUUACCCGCGACUAGACGGAAAGACCCCAUGGAGCUUUACUGCAGGUUGAUAUUGGGAUUUGAUGCAGCAUGUACAGGAUAGGUAGGAGGCAAAGAGAUGGAUACGCCAGUAUUCAAGGAGCCGCUGUUGGGAUACUACCCCUGUUGUAUUGGAUUUCUAACCGGACGACGUAGAGCCGUUGACGGGACAGUGUCAGUCGGGCAGUUUGACUGGGGCGGUCGCCUCCCAAAGAGUAACGGAGGCGCCCAAAGAUACCCUCAGCUUGGAUGGAAACCAAGCGCAGAGUGCAAAGGCAAAAGGGUGUUUGACUGCGAGACCCACAAGUCGAGCAGGGACGAAAGUCGGGCUUAGUGAUCCG
rnacentral:rRNA from 1 species